CGUAGCCACGAGUGGGGAUCACUUUUAUUGGGCCUAAAGCGUCCGUAGCCGGCUUGCUAAGUCUUUUGUGAAAUCGUUGAGCUUAACUCAACGGCGUGCAGGAGAAACUGGUAGGCUCGGGACCGGGAGGAGUCAGAGGUAUUCAAAGGGGAGCGGUAAAAUGCUAUAAUCCUUUGAGGACCACCUGUGGCGAAGGCGUCUGACUAGAACGGGUCCGACGGUAAGGGACGAAGCCCUGGGGCGCGAACCGGAUUAGAGACCCGAGUAGUCC
rnacentral:rRNA from 1 species